UUUUUUGUUUAUAAUGAUUACAUCUUAUUAAUCAUGUACUUGUAAUUUAUCUCUUAAUCUUCGUUGUAUUUAAAUUAUAUUAUAAAAGAAAAUAUUUAAUUAAUUUUUGAAUUUUAUUUACUUUAUUAUUUUAUUUUAUUUUAAUUAUAGGGCAUCAUUCUAAAAUUUUGUACAGGGCACAUAAAAUCUCAGGCACGGCUCU
rnacentral:lncRNA from 1 species